AUUGAACGCUGGCGGCAGGCCUAACACAUGCAAGUCGAGCGGAUGAAGGGAGCUUGCUCCUGGAUUCAGCUGCGGACGGGUGAGUAAUGCCUAGGAAUCUGCCUGGUAGUUGGGGAUAACGUCCGGAAACGGGCGCUAAUACCGCAUACGUCCUGAGUGAGAAAGGGGGGGAUCUUCGGACCUCACGCUAUCAGAUGAGCCUAGGUCGGAUUAGCUAGUUGGUGGGGUAAAGGCCUACCAAGGCGACGAUCCGUAACUGGUCUGAGAGGAUGAUCAGUCACACUGGAACUGAGACACGGUCCAGACUCCUACGGGAGGCAGCAGUGGGGAAUAUUGGACAAUGGGCGAAAGCCUGAUCCAGCCAUGCCGCGUGUGUGAAGAAGGUCUUCGGAUUGUAAAGCACUUUAAGUUGGGAGGAAGGGCAGUAAGUUAAUACCUUGCUGUUUUGACGUUACCAACAGAAUAAGCACCGGCUAACUUCGUG
rnacentral:rRNA from 1 species